GGCUCUGUCGUCUACCGGCUAGGACACCACCCUCUCAAGGUGGAGAAGCGGGUUCGACUCCCGUCAGGGCUA
rnacentral:tRNA from 1 species